UUGAUUUAUUAGAAACAUAAUGCAUCUUGUAUAUAUUUAUAGUGCUUGAUGAACUUGCAGUUCAGUGAGUAAUUAUUAUCUGAAUAAAACAGUAUUAAACACAAAAACCUAAAUAUAUAUAAACUAAGUAAUAUAACCCCUCUGGACAGUAAUGGAAAGUAAAUGUAUGUCUGUAUGCUUGAUGUAUGUUGGUGUAUGCAGGUGUAUGAGUGUUGUAUGUCUGAAAUGAGUGGCUGUUGUACUAUAUAUUUUUAUACACUAUUUUACCAUAGGAUAUCACUUGUAUAUAGUAUUCUGCAUUUGUAUUUCUUUAUUAUGCAGAUUUCUCAGUAGCAACGUUCACCGUUUGAUCAUUGUCACGGUAUUACCAGUUCAGGUAUCACCUAUCUGACUGAAAUUAAGUACGUACAUUCGUACUGAUUAUAAAAUAAACGUCAUCAGCCUCACCCC